UCUCCCUUAUUCUUUUUAGGUUCAUAUCUACAGUGCUUGCCUUAUAUUAUAAUUGGGGUUCUGGGUGUAGCGAGUGCUUUUGUUGCUUUGUUGCUUCCAGAGAGCUUUAGGCAACCACUGCCUGAAUCCUUUCAACAAAUGCAUGAAACAAAAAGGAUGAAGUGUCCCUGCAUCAACAGAACUAAAAGAACAGCACUGAUGGUUUUACCUGACAGUCCUCUGUGACAGUCUGCUAUGUUAGUAUUUCUAGUUAGGUUUGAAGAUUCUACUAAAUAAAAUUAACCCCAAAUUACCAUUUACAAUGAAUGUUCCUAAAUAGUGAAUUGCUGUUUGUUCUUACUGAGUUUAUCUCAAACAGACAAUUGGUAAUAUUUAC